UGUGUGCGAAAUGAAGAAGGUGAAGGAGGCAACUUUUACUACUUAUGUCUCAACUUUGAACCGCACUUUUCUUUUCUUUUUCUACACACACACCACCUCAUUCGCUCUGGUUCUGAUUUACCAGUACUAUGUCACCCUUCACCAGUAGCCCCCCUCCUCCUACUGUGUGUGUGUGUGUGUGUGUGUGUGUGUGUGUGUGUGUGUGUGUGUGUGUGUGUGUGUGUGUGUGAGGGCUGCAUAAAGGGCUCUUUAUUCGCGUCGGACAGGGAGAGGAAAUCAGCUUUAGAAGUAAAAACAGAGGGAGCAGGAGAGAGAUGGAGACCACAGGGCUGCACAUCUGGAGUUAUUACAAGGCUUCCUCCCGCUUGCCAGGAAAACGCCGACAUUCCUGCCCUCGCUACAAAGACCGAGGAGCCUCUACUCUCAUCCAGACCCCCUCCUACACGCACAUCCAUCACUUCACAACCACAUAUACACUCACAUGUACCAUGAGAAGACACGCUGGACGCAAGAAAAGGACACCCAUUCACAUAUUGUGCUUCCACGUGAGCUCACAAACGCAGACAUCCUCCCCAUCUAACCAACAUACGCUUCCACUAAAAGUAGUUCCCUCCCUCAUGCAGCCAAUCCUUCACUCCCUUUCCAAACUUCCUGUUCACCUUUGGCCUUCCACUUUCUCCUAAAAAUCCAGAGAAGAAAGGAAGAAGAAAAAGAGGGAGGGGAGGUAAGGAGGAAAAAAGCCAGACAGAGGGGAGGAGAGAGUAAAAAGAAGAGAGGAGAGAAAAAAAAUGGGGGGGCCGGCGAGCUCCUCCUCCUCCUCCUUCUUCUCUCCCCAUAUCUCCUCUCUCUCUCUCCUCCCUUUUUCUUCUUCUGUCUCUAGAAGAGGAAACUUGAUGGCUAAUGGUUUGCCACGUCGAGGCUCCAGCCGGUCCACUUCGCUUGUCUUUUUUUUUUCUUUUUUUUUUUACUCUGGGAGACUUCAAGAAGAAGAAGAAGAAGAAGAAGAAGUAACUUUCGGAAACACCAUCAGAUUGGUUUUGUCCAAAUAGUGUGGCGGUAAUCUCAGCGGAAAUCGACAUGGGGUGAAUCGUGGCAACGCGCGAAGAAGAAGAAGAAGAAGAAGGAGACACAACAAAUAUAAGUGAAGAAGACGGGGCAUCGCUGAAGACAACAGGAUGUGCGGAGGAGAAGAUGAAUCGUCGAAUCGAAAAGUUAUGUCAGGAUUUUCGCCUCUCGCAGCGGGGG